rnacentral:rRNA from 1 species
AUUGAACGCUGGCGGCAUGCCUAACACAUGCAAGUCGAGCGAAUGAAGGGAGCUUUUUCCUGGAUUCAGCGGCCGACGGGUGAGUAAUGCCUACGAAUCUGCCUUGUAUUGGGGGAUAACGUCCGGAAACGGGCGCUAAUACUGUAUCCGUCCAUAUAUAGAAAGUGGUGGUUCUUGGGUCCUAACGCUUUUUGCUGAGCCUAAGUCGGAUUAGCUAGUUGGUGGGGUAAAGGCCUACCAAGGCGACGAUCCGUAACUGGGCUGAGAGGAUGAUCAGUCACACUGGAACUGAGACACGGUCCAGACUCCUACGGGAGGCAGCAGUGGGGAAUAUUGCGCAAUGGGCGAAAGCCUGAUGCAGCAAAGCCGCGUGAGUGAUGAAGGUCUUCGGAUUGUAAAGCUCUGUAAGUUGGGAGGAAGAGAAGUGAGUUUAUCCCUUGCUGUUUUGACGUUACCGACAGAAUAAGCCCCGGCUAACUUCGUG